rnacentral:rRNA from 1 species
GUGAGGAAUAUUGGUCAAUGGGCGAGAGCCUGAACCAGCCAAGUCGCGUGAAGGAUGAAGGUUUUAUGAAUUGUAAACUUCUUUUGCAGGGGAAUAAAGUACGGUACGUGUACCGUUUUGUAUGUACUCUGCGAAUAAGGAUCGGCUAACUCCGUGCCAGCAGCCGCGGUAAUACGGAGGAUCCAAGCGUUAUCCGGAUUUAUUGGGUUUAAAGGGUGCGCAGGCGGGUUGAUAAGUCAGCGGUGAAAGUUUGCAGCUUAACUGUAAAAUUGCCGUUGAAACUGUCGAUCUUGAGUGCAAAUGAGGUAAGCGGAAUGUGUUGUGUAGCGGUGAAAUGCUUAGAUAUAACACAGAACACCGAUUGCGAAGGCAUCUUACUGGGAUGCAACUGACGCUCAUGCACGAAAGCGUGGGGAUCAAACAGGAUUAGAAACCCCGGUAGUCC